UACGUAGGGGGCAAGCGUUGUCCGGACUUACUGGGCGUAAAGCGUGCGCAGGCGGUUUUGUAAGCCAGAUGUGAAAUCCCCGGGCUUAACCUGGGAAUGGCAUUUGGGACUGCAAGGCUGGAGUGUGGCAGAGGAGACUGGAAUUCCUGGUGUAGCAGUGAAAUGCGUAGAUAUCAGGAGGAAUACCGAUGGCGAAGGCAGGUCUCUGGGCUAACACUGACGCUCAUGCACGAAAGCGUGGGGAGCAAACAGG
rnacentral:rRNA from 1 species